GUUUGGCUUCACCCACUCAGUGUCUUCUUGCGCUAGAUAUUACAGGAGGCACCAGGAACCCCACGGUGAAAAAUAUCAAGUAGAAGAAUUGUUUGUUCCAAUGGGAGGUGGCAAAGGACAAUAAGCAAUGGCUCGCACUUGCCAGAGUAGCUUCAGAACGACCACUGCGCAUGUGAGGGCACGUCAGUGUGCAUUGGAGCCCCUCGGCCAGGAGGACGAAUACCAUGGGCACCGAGGAGGACACUGCCGGGGGCUUCAGGGGUCUCAGGGACUCUGAGCAACUUCAGUCUGGAGUUGCUUUUAUGGGAUCAGGACCAGGGACCAGGGCUGGACUGUCCAGUCACAGGAGAGGUAAGGGGAGAGGUGUGUAGUCGGUGCUGACAGCCUGCUCCACUGAUAUCCACCUUUUCUGAUGUGUGGUAUUCCGGGUAAAGCAAUUGUCCUUUUAGUUCAAGCAAUAAAUUUUCAGGUUUGUCUGUUUAAAGGGCAGGUGGUUGGGACUGCUAUUUUUUGCCUGUGGCAAACCCGCAAUGUAAACCAAUGUGGUCUGGGCGGGAAGAAAUAAUCAAAUGCAAAGCGGAGGCUCAGGUCCCUGAAGGCCAGAGGUACACGAUGAAGUGAGCCGUAGAAUGGCCAUGGGCAGGUGUCUGCAGGAGCAGCAGGCCCAGGGUCAGGGCUAGGUCCCCAGCCUGCAGACCGCUCUCUUAUGCCUAGGCUACCCUGAUUCAUUCCGAGGUGGAGUCCAGAGCUCCCAGUGCCCUUACCAGCAUCCUGUUAAGC
rnacentral:lncRNA from 1 species